rnacentral:rRNA from 1 species
UACGUAGGGUGCGAGCGUUGUCCGGAAUUAUUGGGCGUAAAGAGCUCGUAGGCGGCCUGUCGCGUCGGAUGUGAAAGCCCGGGGCUUAACCCCGGGUCUGCAUUCGAUACGGGCAGGCUAGAGUUCGGUAGGGGAGAUCGGAAUUCCUGGUGUAGCGGUGAAAUGCGCAGAUAUCAGGAGGAACACCGGUGGCGAAGGCGGAUCUCUGGGCCGAUACUGACGCUGAGGAGCGAAAGCGUAGGGAGCGAACAGG